rnacentral:rRNA from 1 species
UACGUAGGGUGCAAGCGUUAAUCGGAAUUACUGGGCGUAAAGCGUGCGCAGGCGGUGAUGUAAGACAGUUGUGAAAUCCCCGGGCUUAACCUGGGAAUUGCAUUUGUGACUGCCCGGCUAGAGUUUGGCAGAGGGGGGUAGAAUUCCACGUGUAGCAGUGAAAUGCGUAGAUAUGUGGAGGAAUACCGAUGGCGAAGGCAGCCCCCUGGGUCAAGACUGACGCUCAUGCACGAAAGCGUGGGGAGCAAACAGG